UUACCACCCCUUGACAUGUAUAGUAUGGUUUCCAGAGAUGGAUUCCUUCAGUUCGGUUGGCGAGAACACAGGUGUUGCAUGGCUGUCGUCAGCUCGUGUCGCGAGAUGUUGGGUUAAGUCCCGCAACGAGCGCAACCUUUGCCUUUAGUUGCCAUCAUUUAGUUGGGCACUCUAGAGGGACUGCCGGUGAUAAGCCGGAGGAAGGUGGGGAUGACGUCAAGUCCUCAUGGCCCUUACGGGUUGGGCUCCCCCCGUGCUACAAUGGCGGCGACAAUGGGCAGNGAAGGGGCGACCCGGUGCAAAUCCCAAAAAGCCGUAUCAGUUCGGAUUGUACUCUGCAACUNGAGUGCAUGAAGGUGGAAUCGCUAGUAAUCGCGUAACAGCAUGACGCGGUGAAUACGUUCCCGGGCCUUGUACACACCGCCCGUCACACCAUGGGAGUUGGUUUUACCCGAAGCUGCUGCGCUAACCGCAAGGAGGCAGCCAACCACGGUAAGGUCAGCGAUUGGGGGAAGAAUAACAA
rnacentral:rRNA from 1 species